rnacentral:rRNA from 1 species
UACGGGGGGAGCAAGCGUUGUUCGGAAUCACUGGGCGUAAAGGGUGCGUAGGUGGUUUGUUAAGUCCGUUGUGAAAUCCCUGGGCUCAACCUGGGAAUGGCAGUGGAUACUGGCAAGCUAGAGUGCGGUAGAGGGUAGUGGAAUUCCCGGUGUAGCAGUGAAAUGCGUAGAGAUCGGGAGGAACACCAGUGGCGAAGGCGGCUACCUGGACCAGCACUGACACUGAGGCACGAAAGCGUGGGGAGCAAACAGG